rnacentral:rRNA from 1 species
AACGAACGCUGGCGGCGUGCCUAACACAUGCAAGUCGAACGAGAAGGGGAGCUUGCUCCCUGGAAAGUGGCGCACGGGUGAGUAACGCGUGGAUAAUCUACCCGACGAUCUGGGAUAACAUUUCGAAAGAGGUGCUAAUACCGGAUAAGCCCACGGGGUCUUCGGACCGUGCGGGAAAAGGGGGGGACCUUCGGGCCUUCUGUCGUCGGAUGAGUCCGCGUACCAUUAGCUAGUUGGUGGGGUAAAGGCCUACCAAGGCGACGAUGGUUAGCUGGUCUGAGAGGAUGAUCAGCCACACUGGAACUGAGACACGGUCCAGACUCCUACGGGAGGCAGCAGUGGGGAAUUUUGCGCAAUGGGGGAAACCCUGACGCAGCAACGCCGCGUGAGUGAUGAAGGCCUUCGGGUCGUAAAGCUCUGUCAGAGGGAAAGAAAUGUGUGGUGGCUAAUAUCCACUGCACUUGACGGUACCCUCAAAGGAAGCACCGGCUAACUCCGUGCCAGCAGCCGCGGUAAUACGGAGGGUGCGAGCGUUGUUCGGAUUUAUUGGGCGUAAAGCGCGUGUAGGCGGUUUGCUAAGUCUGAUGUGAAAGCCCCGGGCUCAACCUGGGAAGUGCAUUGGAAACUGGCAGACUUGAAUACGGGAGAGGGCAGUGGAAUUCCUAGUGUAGGAGUGAAAUCCGUAGAUAUUAGGAGGAACACCGGUGGCGAAGGCGGCUGCCUGGACCGAUAUUGACGCUGAGACGCGAAAGCGUGGGGAGCAAACAGGAUUAGAUACCCUGGUAGUCCACGCCGUAAACGAUGAGUACUAGGUGUUGCGGGUAUUGACCCCUGCAGUGCCGCAGCUAACGCAUUAAGUACUCCGCCUGGGAAGUACGG